AGCGAACGCUGGCGGCAGGCCUAACACAUGCAAGUCGAACGGACCCUUCGGGGUUAGUGGCGGACGGGUGAGUAACACGUGGGAACGUGCCUUUAGGUUCGGAAUAGCUCCUGGAAACGGGUGGUAAUGCCGAAUAUGCCCUUCGGGGGAAAGAUUUAUCGCCUUUAGAGCGGCCCGCGUCUGAUUAGCUAGUUGGUUGGGGUAAUGGCCCACCAAGGCUACGAUCAGUAGCUGGUCUGAGAGGAUGACCAGCCACAUUGGGACUGAGACACGGCCCAAACUCCUACGGGAGGCAGCAGUGGGGAAUCUUGCGCAAUGGGCGAAAGCCUGACGCAGCCAUGCCGCGUGGAUGAUGAAGGUCUUAGGAUUGUAAAAUCCUUUCACCGGUGAAGAUAAUGACUGUAGCCGGAGAAGAAGCCCCGGCUAACUUCGUGCCAGCCGCCGCGGUAAGAC
rnacentral:rRNA from 1 species